GAUGAACGCUGGCGGCGUGCUUAACACAUGCAAGUCGAACGGUGAAGGCGUAGCUUGCUCUGCUGGAUCAGUGGCUAACGGGUGCGUAACACUUGAUCAAUCUUCCCCUGACUCUGGGAUAAGCGCUGGAAACGGCGUCUAAUACUGGAUACGAGCUGCGAAUGCAUCUUCAGCAGCUUGAAAGAACUUCGGUCAGGGAUGAGCUCGCGGCCUAUCAGCUUGUUGGUGAGUUAACGGCUCACCAAGGCGUCGACGGGUAGCCGGCCUGAGAGGGUGACCGGCCACACUGGGACUGAGACACGGACCAGAAGCCUACGGGAGGCAGCAGUGGGGAAUAUUGCACAAUGGGCGAAAGCCUGAUGCAGAAACGCCGCGUGAGGGACGACGGCCUUCGGGUUGUAAACCUCUUUUAGCAGGGAAGAAGCGAAAGUGACGGUACCUGCAGAAAAAGCGCAGGCUAAAUAAGUG
rnacentral:rRNA from 1 species